rnacentral:lncRNA from 1 species
GCGCGGCGCUGGGGAUGGGGAUGGGCGGGUGGAGCGCGCGUCUUGCCACGGCAACCGGCGUCACGGGGCUCCGCGCGCUCCCGCGGCCCGAGGGGAGCGGGGCUGGAGCUGGGGCUGGGGGGGGGGCCGGGCCCGAGGGCUGCGCUAAAUGGCCUUGCCCGUAAUCAGAUCAUGGCUUUAGGGGAGGGGCGGUCAGGCACCACAAAUGCGGCGGCAUUAAAAGAUAGGCCUGGCGUGAGGUCAGCGCUUAAUGCCGCUGUUCCGCGCUGUCUCCGCUGCAGCGCCGAGCCCCAUGCGGUGCGCGGAGCUCCUUUAUUGCGGCCCUCCGGUGCUGCCCGUUCCUGCGCUCGGUUUUGCGGCCUGGCACCGUUUGUUGCACAAACCAAGCAUCCCAGGAUGAAGGCAGGCCUUCCAGCUGACGGCAUGGGCUCCAGAAGUGUCAGGUAAUGGAGGACGUGACACCACAUCCCCAUGCCACUCCUGGUAGCCCUUCUCACCACCCGCAUGGCGCUGAGAGAAGCAGCCUGAAGUCAGUAUCCAGAGGAUUAAAAAGUGGCAUGUUUCUUUUGUCUGGGAACUCAAUCAAGACCUGCUUCUUGACCAACCAGCUGCAAAAUAUUUGCAAUGCAGAGAGAAGAGGCUUGGUAGUCCGCUUUAUGACAGCAAGACUGUGCUUCCAAAAGGAUCCAUACUUAUGUAAAACAAUGAAAAAGCUGUCUACGAAGCACUAUUUCUCAUGUAUAUUUUUGUUCACUGGGCAAACAUUGUAG